rnacentral:lncRNA from 1 species
GGGACCGUCCUUCAGGCUCCGCCCCGCGGGGUUCACGCCAUUCUCCUGCCUCAGCCUCCAGCGUAGCUGGGACUACAGGCGCCCGCCACCUCGCCCGGCUAAUUUUUUUUGUAUUUUUAGUAGAGACGGGGUUUCACCGUGUUAGCCAGGAUGGUCUCGAUCUCCUGACCUCGUGAUCCGCCCGCCUCAGCCUCCCAAAGUGCUGGGAUUACAGGCGUGAGCCACCGCGCCCGGCCAAUUUUUUUGAGUAGAGACGGGGUUUCACCAUGUUAGCCAGGAUGGUCUCGAUCUCCUGACCUUGUGAUCCACCUGCCUUGGCCU